UGUCCUGUGAGGAGAACUCAUGAGGGAGUAGGCAAGCAGAGGAGAGUCUCCUGGGGUGAUGGAGGCUGGGUAUAGCAGAGACUGUGACUUUACCUUCUCCAGGGAAACCAAAGUUUCCAUGGUGAUGGGCUUUGAUCUUUCAGUGCGCUGACGGCACUAUCACAUCAUUUCCGCUUUCUUGUCCGGAAGUCUGGGUACGGACUAUCUGUACAACAUACACGUGGGUGUUCUAUAAAGGAAGAGCCUGACCUAGGAAGGAAGCCUAUCAGCGAAUGGUGAGAAGGAACCCAGGACAAGAAGGCAUCUAAAAAAGGAGCUGUCUUCCUUCUUCAGGCAACACAAAAUAUCAAACAAAGUCAAUUGUGUACAGUAUGUAUACAGUCUUCCAAUGUCAUCUAUGAUCAAGCAGGAAAAUGUAUUGAAACAGGCCAGCACUGCAGUGCAUUCUGGGACUUGGAAGCCGCUUGGCCGACCGUUAACAUUUCCGCUCUAACAGACCAGUUUUUGUCCAUCUAAUGCAGUAAUUUCCACUCCGCUUUUGAUUUUCAGCUCCAUAAAUCCUAAAUGUGCCUUUCAUUUAAUUUUUCCAGACUGCUUACAUCUGUUCCAGUUUUAGGAAAUAGGCUCUGCAGGCAGAGUGCAGUACAAUUCUUCCAGGCCGGCAGCACCGAGUCCUCCUAGUCUCGUCAUGUAUGUAACGAGGUUCCAGAACCGACGAACAAUUCUUUCAGUCACUCAGUCUUUUUUUUUUUACUUUCUUAAAAUUAUGUUAUAGUAAAAUAUUAAAUAUUUUAAGAAACCAAA